UAAAUAAAAAAGAAAAGAAAAUCAAUGCAUGCUUUAUAGCUUAUCCUUUUGCUUUACUUUACUCCUCAUUAAAACAAGGUGAUGCCAGCACAGGUGGGUUCUACGUGUUCUAGGCAGAGUGCUUCUACUGAAAAAAUCUGUCAUACUCUUAAGUAGGAAUGGAUUCACUAAUCUGGAAGGCUUAAAAAUAAAAUUCUGCUCUACUGUUAGCUUGAAAACCAAACAGGAGAUUUAAUGCACAUUUCUGGUCUCUAUUAAUCUGACAAUUGAUGGAUUGCAUGCCUAGGAAAUAUUUUAUAUAAUUAAUCUAGAUAAUUUGUACCUGAUAUUAGUAAUACUGCUGAUCGGGUAAUUGUGCAGGAAAUCCACUUGUGAAACUCCAGAAUUAUUAUUAAGGAAACAAGAUGCUUUCCAAACUAAUGAGAAAAAUGCCAAUUCAGUCCCUUUCCCCCAGGUUUUAAAGCUAUUCCAUUGUUUCUGAAGGACUGUUUAAAGAGUAAUACAUCUUGAUUUUUGUAGCUUUACUGGUAUCAAUGUUAAUUCACUGAGCAAGAAAAGAGUAGUUUGUCUUCUGGAGCAGAAAAAGAAGGCAAGAAACAGAUUGCUUUUAACUCUGCUUGGAAUAGAGGUUGGGGCUAAAGGUGUAGUCCUUUGGAAUGAAGUAAGCUCCUGGUGGACUUGCAGAAGGAAAACUAGGUUACACAACUUCUCAUAAUGGCAAAAAGUCAGGGAGGAAAGCUGAAACAUGAGUGAAGGGUAUUACUGAUGCACAAACCCAGACAGAUUUGGGUACAAAGAUUCAAAGUGUUCCCGUCUACCUCUGAUCCUCAUCUCUUUGUGGAAGACAAAAGGUAAGGACUUACGUUUAAAAUGCAGUAUAACUUGUAAUGACUGAAAAUGCUAUUAUGUGUGACAACUUUGAAAGCUGUGAAAAACCAGUAGAGUUCUUAUGCUAGGUAGUCUUAACUAUCAUAAAAACACUGGAAAAAUGUUAACACUUUUUGCAGCUUCUAGCUACAAAAUAAUUGCUCUGUGGAUGAACAGAGGACUCAAUUCUCC
rnacentral:lncRNA from 1 species